CCUACGGGAGGCAGCAGUAGGGAAUUUUGCGCAAUGGGCGAAAGCCUGACGCAGCAACGCCGCGUGAUCGAGACGCCCUUCGGGGUGUAUAGAUCUCUCAGUGGGGGCGAAACUUGACGGUACCCACAGAGGAAUCACCGGCUAACUCCGUGCCAGCAGCCGCGGUAAUACGGGGGGUGCAAGCGUUGUCCGGAAUCAUUGGGCGUAAAGAGUUCGUAGGCGGCACGUAAAGUCUGGCGGUAAGGGCAGAGGCUCAACUUCUGUACGGCACUGGAUACUUGCGAGCUUGAAUGCGGUAGAGGUAGAGGGAAUUCGUGGUGUAGCGGUGAAAUGCUUAGAUAUCAGGAGGAACAUCGGUGGCGUAAGCGCUCUACUGGGCCGUAAUUGACGCUGAGGAACGAAAGCCAGGGUAGCAAAUGGGAUUAGAUACCCUGGUAGUC
rnacentral:rRNA from 1 species